rnacentral:rRNA from 1 species
AGUUUGAUCCUGGCUCAGGAUGAACGCUGGCGGCGUGCCUAAUACAUGCAAGUCGAACGGGGAUAGUAAUAUCCUAGUGGCGACCGGGUGCGUAACACGUAGCCGACCUGCCCCUCAGCGGGGGACAACGGGCCGAAAGGCCCGCUAAUACCGCAUACGCUUGGGAGGACUAGAAGCUCUCAAGGAAACUUCUGGGGUUGAGGGAGGGGGCUGCGGCCCAUCAGGUAGUUGGUGAGGUAGCGGCUCACCAAGCCGACGACGGGUAGGGGGCCUGAGAGGGUGGUCCCCCACACUGGGACUGACACACGGCCCAGACUCCUACGGGAGGCAGCAGUAAGGGAUAUUGCGCAAUGGGCGAAAGCCUGACGCAGCAACGCCGCGUGGAGGAUGACGGCCUUCGGGUUGUAAACUCCUUUUGACGCUGACGAGCAAGGACGGUAGGCGUCGAAUCAGUCACGGCUAACUACGUGCCAGCAGCCGCGGUAAAACGUAGGUGGCGAGCGUUAUCCGGAUUUACUGGGCGUAAAGCGUGUGCAGGCGGGGUAUCAAGUGGUGUAUGAAAUCGCUCGGCUAAACCGGGCGCGGUUAUGCCAGACUGAUGCUCUGGAGUGCGGGAGAGGGGCGUGGAAUUCCGGGUGUAGUGGUGAAAUGCGUAGAGAUCCGGAGGAACCCCAGAGGCGAAGGCGGCGCCCUGGCCCGACACUGACGCUCAGACACGACAGCAUGGGGAGCGAACGGGAUUAGAAACCCCGGUAGUCCAUGCCGUAAACGAUGCCGACUAGGCGCUGGGGGUCUCAACCCCCUCGGUGUCGCAGCUAACGCGAUAA